rnacentral:rRNA from 1 species
AUUGAACGCUGGCGGCAGGCCUAACACUUGCAAGUCGAACGAGUGGCGGACGGGUGAGUAAUGUCUGGGAAAAUGCCUGAUGGAGGGGGAUAACUACUGGAAACGGUAGCUAAUACCGCAUACCAUCAGAUGUGCCCAGAUGGGAUUAGCUUGUUGGUGGGGUAACGGCUCACCAAGGCGACGAUCCCUAGCUGGUCUGAGAGGAUGACCGGCCACUGUGGAACUUGGCCACGGUCCAGACUCCUACGGGAGGCAGCGGUGGGGAUGAUUGCCCAAUGAGCGAAAGCCUGAUGCAGCCAUGCGGCGUGUAUGAAGAGGGCCUUCGGGUUGUAAAGUACUUUCAGCGAGAAGGCGUUACCCGCAGAAGAAGCACCGGCUAACUCCGUGCCAGCAGCCGCGGUAAUUC